GCCUCUGUGGCGCAAUUGGAUAGCGCGUUGGACUUCUAAUCCAAAGGCUGCGGGUUCGAAUCCCGCCAGGGGUA
rfam:Plasmodium falciparum RAJ116 genomic scaffold supercont1.888, whole genome shotgun sequence.